AGUGUCGGCGCAUGGGUCCCAGAGGGCGGCAGAGCGGCACAGCUGAUGCCCCGGAGCGCGUCGUGUCGGGCGGCAGGGCAGCGCUGCUCCCUCCCCCUGGAGGAGGGCCGAUCCCCCGCACUCGAGCUGCUCUGACUGCCUCUCUCACACUCACAGUGCUGGAGGUCUCCAAACACGCACAUGCAAAUCCAUGCAGGCGUUCAGUUUGGGAGAAAAAAAACUGGAGAGAAAAUAUCCCGAGAGCGCGAUUAGCAGUAGUCGAGGUCGUUCACACUUCUAGCGUGUUUAGAGUUGACUAAAGGUGACUUUGAGUUAGUUGUUGUUGCUGAAGAAGUGUCUGGACUGGAGCGAGUGAACGAGAACCCGCUGUUAUGAACUCUUUACACUAAUGUAAAGGUCCUGGUCUGCUGAUCCAAACUAUCCAAAUCUCCAAUGUUAGUUCUCAACCUUGGAAACCACAGGAUCAACAAGGCCCCUGCGUUCCCAGAAUCUGAGGACCCAAACCGACUCGGUUACUCUGAAAAGGCUCUGGAAACUUGAGAACGAGAAACCGGAAGGCAAUUCAUAAGGCAAAAUAGAUUUUCCAUUCCUCCAGCCUUCCGCAUCCAUAACCAGACGGAGAGCUGAAGUUAGACGGUCUGUUGAUUUUGAUGACGCGAUUGUUGGAGAAAUACGGAUAUCUGGUGGCUUGUGGUUCUCUCAGACAUCCGGCUGUCAACAGAGUGAAGUAAGCACUACCGUAAGAGAGGAUUCUGGGAUAGGUUCAUGCCGCGGUUGCGCCGCUGUAUGGAGGUGUGAGGGAGGAGCGGGACUCUUGUGGGACGCUGGGGGAGUUCAGGCUGGUGGGGAUCAUGGGAAAAGAGCAGGAUCUUCUGCAAGCGGUCAAGAAUGGAGAUCUAGCUACUACACAGAAACUGCUGGCCAAGGUCAAAGCCAGCAAAAGCAAGUUACUGGGCUCCACCAAGAGGCUGAACAUCAACUAUCAGGAUCCAGACGGGUG